UGCAUAAUCAUUAGUCUUUUAAUUUGAGACUGGAAUGAAAGAGUAAACCGGGAGAAUUUUUUUUCAGUUGAGAAAAUGAAUUUUACUUUUUAGUAAGAAGGCUAAAAUUUAACUUUUAGACAAGAAGACCCUAUAAAACUUUAUAUUUUUAUUUCUUAGUUGAAAGAAGAAGUAUUUCGCUGGGGCGGUGAAGGAAAGCCCUUCCUUUAAAGAAAUAAACUUUCUUGUUUAAAUACCUAGAAAUUCUAAAUUAGAAAUAAGUUACUUUAGGGAUAACAGCUUAAUUUACUUAGAAAGAUCAAAUUGACAAGUAAGUUUAUGACCUCGAUGUUGAAUUAAAAGACCUUUUUUGUGCAAAAGCUAAAAAA
rnacentral:rRNA from 1 species